AUUGACUGAAAAAUGAUAAAAUACCAAACUUUAAUGAAAUGUUAGUAGUUGAGGCUCUAACAUAUGUCGUUCCAGUCCCGUUGUAGUCCGUAGCUAUGUUCACCAGUUUUUCUUAGAUUUGAUGCUACAGUAUCUCCUAUCAAGGGAUGGUCCUGUUGGGGAAGUUUGGCUCUAGAUCAGAAGAGACAGAUAUUUGAAGAUACAGCAUAUCCAUUUUCACUUCUUGUCUAAAAGGCCUAGAAUGCAGAGUAUUAGACUGUAACAUUAAUUCUUAAGUUUGAAGUUGAUCUGUUUUGUGUCCCAUGGUUUUUUUUUUUUUUUUUUCCAUCCUUUCAUCUGCUCUCCCUGUUUUUACCAUGGAACCAGUUACACCAAACCACAGCCACGAGUAUGACGUUGCUGGGUAUUUAAUACUUGUCCACAUCAGCAAGUGCUACUUUCUGUCCUCUGUGACCAGCAACAAUACUGACAGCAAGUGGCAGCCUUUUAUAUGAAACUUCUCAUGGCAUUUGCUGAAAUUUCAAGGGACUGUUCUACAACCUACUAGAGUAAGAGAUACUUGGCCUUCAUUAUGAGCUGUUUAGUUUGUUUGCAUUGUUUAGUAUUUUUACUAAAUGUUUCAAAUACUGUAGCUCAGUGUUGUGCUGCAUUCAGAAGCAAGAGUAUCAGUGAUGUCUGUGGGACGUUUUCUGCAUAAGGGGCCAAAGAGAGGUGCGCCUCAAAGGAGAAUAUGUUUUGAUCUUCACAGUAUUGAAGUAUGUUAAUACCCAAACUUUCAAAAGCUUUGAGAUCAAUGUGACCAAUUACAUGCAUCGUUAAGUCAUACCCAUCUUGUACAGUGCCUUGCGCUUGUGCUUUUUAGUCACAGUGAACUGUCCUUUCUAUAUUGCAAUCAUGGUUACUUUUCCCUCAGAAGCAGUUAAAUACCAGUACUUCAGUAAAGCAGAGCAAAACAGUCAAAAUUUUAUACUGUAGUCAAAAGCCACUCUUUGGCAUAGGUUUUCUUACUACGUUUAUAAAACAGUUCCUACAGAAUACCAAAAAGUUGCUCAUAAAUACUGUAUUUCUAUGUUUCUUAGCAGUUACGUAGCUCAGCCCUCUACCACCCUUCUGCUAGAAAAGUCUCAUGAGGAAGUAAUGGAAGGAGACAGUAAGUUGAAUGACUGAUGAGUCAGUUCAAGUUUUAUGUUUUAUUUCCUGAUUUGUAAUCAUUGUGCAUAAGCAAUGCUUAUUUCACUGUGUAGUACAGUAUAUGCGUGAGUUCAAUGUCUUUUUAUGCAUUUCGCCCUACAGUAUGUUUAAAGCAGUGCAUGUUAAGGAUUUCUGUAUUAUAAAAUGGGGUUUUAUUUUGUCUCUCUGGUCAAUUUUUAUAAUUCAUGUUUCUGUUUCAAGUUGUAGGUAGCAUAUUUACAUAUGCUCGCUUACCUGACUUCUUGUUAGAUGGCUUUUGCGCUUAUUUUACAUUUUUCUUUUCUAAAUGCACUUAAAGCAGCCUGUGGCAGGAAAGUGAAGAUGACGUUUUUUCCAAAUGAUUAUUGUUAGUGCUAAGCGAAUAGGACCAGUUUACAUAAGGACAGUUAUGUGCAGAAAUUGGUUCGGAGGCGAUAAUACCUGUGAUAAGAGAAUUUAAGGAGUGUCUCUGUCUCAGUAUUACAUGUGUUUAAGUGCUUUCUAGUCACAUCUUUAUAAAAAGGACUGACAUUGUGCAAGCAGCCAUAGGCUGGCUGUGGUUUGGCCACUGGCUGUUUGCACUGCUGUAGACAGACAGACAGACACACACACACACACACACACACACGCACGCACGCACACUCUGUACAAGUUGGCUCUUCAGGAGUUCGACUCAGUUAAAGACUUGCAGUUAUCCAGUUGAGUGUUAAGUAAAAAGGUAAUCUUGAGGAAAUGCAUGAACCUCACGUCUGUAAUCGUUCCACUGCAGCUUUUAUAGAGGCCAUAGACAUUUUUCUGUCUUGAGUUCCAUUUCUCAAAAGCUUCAUUGAUACAUAUACAUCAUCUUCUUUUCAUAGAGACUUUGGUAACCCUGCCUGCACUAUUAACAGCGUCAUCUUCUACAGUGUCACAUAUGUGAAGAGAUCCAAAGCGAGGGUGAGGUUUAGCUUAACACAUAUUUUCAAAUAACUUAAUUUGUAUAGAUGGUCAGAAAUAUUUUUGUUUAAACACUGCUUAAUUCAUUCAUCUUAGUCAAGAGGAAACCUUGUGUAUCGAGUCUGAGACUGUUUUUCAGAAGCUACCCUGAAGGAUUUUGAGGCCUUUUUGUCACUAAACUAGAUAGAAAUUAUGCAUCCAUAUUCUCGAAGAUACCCCAGCUUGUGUUGUUUCUUAGAGCUGUGAAACACUUCAAGAAGAAUCCAUAUAAUCAUGGAGAUCCUUGGUUUUUGUCAGCAUUAAAAAUGACUGCAGUGAGCACUUUCAGUAGGUAUACACAUUUAAUUAAAAAAGGUAGGUUAUUUCGCGGUAGACUGGCAUGAUUGUUGUAGAGGUUUCCUUUGCUUCACAUAAUGAUAUAGGAUUUUUUUCUAAGAAAAAGGCUGAAAUAAAUGCAGGUAUUUCCAUCGUAACGGAUCUUGUCCCAGGUCUCUAUUAUACUCUUGCAUUUGAACUGGGAAAUACAUAAUUCAUUAUGAUAGCAAGAUUUGGGGGUUGAUUUGUUUUUGGCUGGAGCCAUACCUGUCAUACAGACUCUUAGGAAGUUGACCAAGAGCAGCAGUGCAGCCAGGUGCUGAGAUGCAUAAUGCAUUUUUGCAGCUUGGAGCUUAGUGACUAUUUCUGGAGCAUUUUAGUUAUAUGCUUAAGUAAUUAUUUUUGCAUUUUGGAGUUGAGGUACCUUGUCUUCUACAGGAUUUCUGACCUCUUUCAGGAGGGCAGGAAACCUCCACAAUGGAACUGUCAGGGUCCCUGGGACCCUUGGGAGGCUGGUUCUCGUGGCUAGAUCAGCACAGCUCUGAUACUUUACAAAAUGCUACUUCUCUGUACAUGGAAGGACCAGUUUUCCAAAAAGCAGCAGACCAGCCAUCUCUGACUCAAAAAUACUAUGCUGUUAAAAUAACAUAAUUACUUAAUGAGCUAAUUAUUUGCAUUUUUCUUCUUUUUUAAUAUGAAGUUUUUGGGGAACUGUAUUUGUGCCAAAAGGUACUGAACAGAAGCCAUCUUUAUCAGCAUUCCUAAUCAUUAAAUAGCAAUAAUGCAAUAGAACAAACCUGCUGUUUCCUGUGUUUGUAUUUUGCACUUAAAUCUUGGAUUAAGAAGCCACACUUGUCUAUAUAUCAUUAGUUACACUGAAUUUUCAUAAUUCAUUUCACUUUGGCACUUACAUGCUUUUGCAGUUUGUUUUAGGUGUUACUCUGGUGUGCAUUAGCGUACUAUUUGAAUGCCUGUAGUGACUUUGAGGUUCCAUUACAGGAGGGGAAUUUCUGAAUUGCCCCAAAGUAUUGUUUUGAUCUUUUGAUGACAUUAAAACAUUUAUUUUCAUAUGAAAUUGCUUUUACCCUUAUAAAGAAGAUUUAUGUAUCACCAAGAUUCCACUUACCUCCUCAUAUUAGGACUAUUAAUUUUAGAAGUAAUUAUUAUGCAGAUCUCUUUUGUGGGGCUACCUGCAUAACUGAAUUUCACUCAUUAGAUUUUGAUGAAAGCAUUCUUUUAAAUUCAGAUCUAACCUUCCCUUUAAUCUUAACAUAAUACAAAGCAAUGUUAUGUUACAGAAACACGCCCCAAGGUACCAAUAUAUGCAGUGUCCUUUCCUUCCAGGUGUUUUCUGUUUUUUCGCAGAGCUGUGUUUAGCAGAGGAAGAAACGCAUGUAACAAGAUCAACAGUGCAGUCACUAUAAAUAAACUCUCUUUCCAGUGAUGUUAGCACUAUAUUGCAUGGCCAUCAUGUGAUGGAUGUUACCUCAUUAUGGAGGAAACAUUCCUCUAUAGGAGCAGCCUAAGAGAUUUCAUUUGGGUGUUUCUGCACCUUCUGCAUAACAGUUGCCAUUUCUGAAAUAAUCUCCAACAGACUUCGACAUAAUCAACUAAGUAGGAAUAGGUAUCUUUCUUUACUGAAUAAAGCUGGCAGGCGCUUCAGCAUACCAGCUAAUUUUAAAAGAGCUAAUGUCUGCUACAAUGAAUAUAGUCCUAUAAAUUUAUGAAUCUAUUAGGAAAGUGCAUUACUAAUAUAGUGACUCUGCAGAUCCAAAAUACAUGCAGUUCAAGCAGCAGUCUUGCAAGGGAAAAAUCCCAAAUUGUAAAUAUGGGGAUAUCUACUGCUGCGCUUACAUUGCAAUUACCCAUGUGGGUAACCAGUUACCUGUCAGUCAUUGAAACUGCUUAUCUACAUUUCACCCAUUAUGACUAAACCUUAUUGAAUAUGGGCCAUUAAAACUUAUGAGCAGCAGUGGUUUCCUGUCUCACUUUUUAGGGACUUUCUUUUUAAGAUUUUUUUCUUAAACAGGACAAGUGGUUUCAGAAAGUGAGCAAAAAAAGGCUAUACCUUACCUUGUUGAUCAUGGAGAAAUUUGUACCUUAGGAGGACUUCAUGUGCAUGGAACCUAUGUUCAGAUUUGGAAAGAAUAUUCCCUAACAAAGAGAGAAGAGGAUCCAGGACCUUCUUUUUUUCCGUUCAAAAACUACCGAAAACUACUAAAUAAAUUACGUCUGUUUCUCAAAAUAAACACUUUUUGCUACCUGC